AUUGAACGCUGGCGGCAGGCCUAACACAUGCAAGUCGAGCGAGCGGCGGACGGGUGAGUAAUGUCUGGGAAACCGCCCGAUGGAGGGGGAUAACUACUGGAAACGGUAGCUAAUACCGCAUACCAUCAGAUGUGCCCAGAUGGGAUUAGCUAGUAGGUGUGGUAACGGCUCACCUAGGCAACGAUCCCUAGCUGGUCUGUGAGGAUGACCAGCCACACUGGAACUGAGACACGGUCCCGACGCCUACGGGAGGCAGCAGGGGGGAAUAUUGCACAAUGGGCGCAAGCCUGAUGCAGCCAUGCCGCGUGUGGGAAGAAGGCCUUCGGGUUGUAAAGCACUUUCAGCGGGGAGGCGUUACCCGCAGAAGAAGCACCGGCUAACUCCGUGCCAGCAGCCGCGGUAAUUC
rnacentral:rRNA from 1 species